rnacentral:rRNA from 1 species
GACGAACGCUGGCGGCGUGCCUAAUACAUGCAAGUCGAGCGCAGGAAAUCGACGGAACCCUUCGGGGGGAAGUCGACGGAAUGUGCGGCGGACGGGUGAGUAACACGUAAAGAACCUGCCCUCAGGUCUGGGAUAACCACGAGAAAUCGGGGCUAAUACCGGAUGGGUCAUCGGACCGCAUGGUCCGAGGAUGAAAGGCGCUUCGGCGUCGCCUGGGGAUGGCUUUGCGGUGCAUUAGCUAGUUGGUGGGGUAAUGGCCCACCAAGGCGACGAUGCAUAGCCGACCUGAGAGGGUGAUCGGCCACACUGGGACUGAGACACGGCACAGACUCCUACGGGAGGCAGCAGUAGGGAAUCUUCCACAAUGGACGAAAGUCUGAUGGAGCAACGCCGCGUGAACGAUGAAGGCCUUCGGGUCGUAAAGUUCUGUUGUAAGGGAAGAACAAGUGCCGCAGGCAAUGGCGGCACCUUGACGGUACCUUGCGAGAAAGCCACGGCUAACUAUGUGCCAGCCGCCGCGGUAA